UACAGAGGUCCCGAGCGUUGUUCGGAUUCACUGGGCGUAAAGGGUGCGUAGGUGGUGCGGUAAGUCGGAUGUGAAAUCUCCGGGCUCAACCCGGAAAUGGCAUUGGAAACUACCUUGCUGGAGGAUUUGAGGGGGGAUUGGAAUACUUGGUGUAGCAGUGAAAUGCGUAGAUAUCAAGUGGAACACCAGUGGCGAAGGCGAAUCCCUGGAAAAUACCUGACACUGAGGCACGAAAGCUAGGGGAGCAAACAGG
rnacentral:rRNA from 1 species